UUAUAAGAAUGUGAAGCCGCUAGGAGCUUAAACGGGUGGAACUGCGAAGGACGAACGAGGGUAUUCACCUCGUCGGGGGGACGGGACCGGGGCGCUCCUUGAGUCAGGCGCCAAGAGCAAACCCAAGCGAGCGCAGGAGCGCCCCUUUGGUGUCCGACAGACAGGUCCCUCCCGGCGGGCGUAUUUGUCCCCUCUAGUAGUGUGACGCAGCGAGCCGUCUGGAAGGAGCCAGGAGGGCCGCGUCCGGACUGGUACCCUCAGUCAGGAGGGGAAACCGGCGCGUGCUGCUCGGGGACUGGCUCCGGAGACGGCGUACUCCCAAGGGGGCAGGGGGCCCCUCGCUGUGAAGUAGCGGUGAUCCACCCGACCCGUCUUGAAACACGGACCAAGGAGUCUAACCUGUGCGCGAGUCUAAGGGUUCUUGGCAAGACCCGGAGGCGCAAUGAAAGUGAGCGAGCCUGCCACGGGCGGGCUCUAGGCUGGCCGAUCCCCGGCACAAGUGCCGGGGCGCAGGCCGAGGACUCGCCGCUCGGCGGCCGUCUGCUCUGGCCUCCCUGGCCCU
rnacentral:rRNA from 1 species